rnacentral:lncRNA from 1 species
AUCUUUCCACACUUCCCAGCGUUGAGUUCAUCAAACUGGUUGCAGAUUAACAUGAUGUCCUUCUCUGAGAUCUUCCCCAUCUCCUUGAGCUUGUAGAUCACAAACUCUGAUUUGCUACAGAAUGUAAUGAAGUAAGUAAAGCUCAUACAGCAGCAGGUGCUCUCACUUUGAUCUGAAGCCAUACCUUAUGGAUCCAUUAUUGUCCAGGUCUGCUGCCAUCAGAUCUCCCGCGGUCAUCUUCCUCUUGAGCACCCACUCUGCAGUCCUUCGAUUCCUUUUCUCGAUCCUGAGCUCGGUCAGAUACAAGAACGCCUUGGCGACAGCGAGAGUGCUCACCAGCAG